UACGGAGGGUGCGAGCGUUGUCCGGAAUCAUUGGGCGUAAAGGGCGCGUAGGUGGCGCAGCAAGCGUGCGGUGAAAGCUCGGGGCUCAACCCCGAGUCGGCCGUGCGAACUGCUGGGCUCGAGCACUGUAGAGGCAGGCGGAAUUCCGGGUGUAGCGGUGGAAUGCGUAGAGAUCCGGAAGAACACCGGUGGCGAAGGCGGUUCUCUGGGCAUUACCUGACGCUGAGGAGCGAAAGUGUGGGGAGCGAACAGG
rnacentral:rRNA from 1 species